ACGAACGCUGGCGGCGUGCCUAAUACAUGCCAGUAGAACGCUGAAGGAGGAGCUUGCUUCUCUGGAUGAGUUGCGAACGGGUGAGUAACGCGUAGGUAACCUGCCUGGUAGCGGGGGAUAACUAUUGGAAACGAUAGCUAAUACCGCAUAAGAGUAGAUGUUGCAUGACAUUUGCUUAAAAGGUGCAAUUGCAUCACUACCAGAUGGACCUGCGUUGUAUUAGCUAGUUGGUGGGGUAACGGCUCACCAAGGCGACGAUACAUAGCCGACCUGAGAGGGUGAUCGGCCACACUGGGACUGAGACACGGCCCAGACUCCUACGGGAGGCAGCAGUAGGGAAUCUUCGGCAAUGGACGGAAGUCUGACCGAGCAACGCCGCGUGAGUGAAGAAGGUUUUCGGAUCGUAAAGCUCGGUUGUAAGAGAAGAACGAGUGUGAGAGUGGAAAGUUCACACUGUGACGGUAUCUUACCAGAAAGGGACGGCUAACUACGUG
rnacentral:rRNA from 1 species